rnacentral:rRNA from 1 species
UACAGAGGUCCCAAGCGUUGUUCGGAUUCACUGGGCGUAAAGGGUGCGUAGGUGGUAAGGUAAGUCGGAUGUGAAAUCUCCAGGCUCAACCUGGAAAUGGCAUCGGAAACUACCUUGCUCGAGGUUUGGAGGGGGGACUGGAAUACUUGGUGUAGCAGUGAAAUGCGUAGAUAUCAAGUGGAACACCAGUGGCGAAGGCGAGUCCCUGGACAACACCUGACACUGAGGCACGAAAGCUAGGGGAGCAAACAGG